AUUGAACGCUGGCGGCAGGCCUAACACAUGCAAGUCGAGCGGAGCGGCGGACGGGUGAGUAAUGCCUAGGAAUCUGCCUGUUAGUGGGGGACAACGUCCGGAAACGGGCGCUAAUACCGCAUACUAUCAGAUGAGCCUAGGUCGGCUUAGCUAGUUGGUGGGGUAAAGGCCUACCAAGGCGACGAUCCGUAACUGGUCUGAGAGGAGGAUCCGUCACACUGGAACUGAGAAACGGUCCAGACUCCUACGGGAGGCAGCAGUGGGGAAUAGUGGACAAUGGGCGAAAGCCUGAUCGAGCCAUGCCGGGUGUGUGAAGAAGGUCUUCGGAUUGUAAAGCACUGUAGGUAGGGAGGCGUUACCAACAGAAUAAGCACCGGCUAACUACGUGCCAGCCGCCGCGGUAAUUC
rnacentral:rRNA from 1 species